UUUCCGGUUGAUCCUGCCGGACCUGACUGCUAUCGGAUUGAUACUAAGCCAUGCGAGUCUUUGUAGUAAUACAAGGCAGACGGCUCAGUAACACGUAGUCAACCUACCCUAUGGACAAGAAUAAUCUCGGGAAACUGGGCAUAAUUCUUGAUAGAUCAUAAUGCCUGGAAUGGUUUAUGGUUAAAAUGAUUCGUCGCCAUAGGAUGGGACUGCGGCCUAUCAGCUUGUUGGUGAGGUAAUGGCCCACCAAGGCGAUUACAGGUACGGGCUCUGAGAGGAGAAGCCCGGAGAUGGGUACUGAGACACGGACCCAGGCCCUAUGGGGCGCAGCAGGCGAGAAAACUUUGCAAUGUGCGAAAGCACGACAAGGUUAAUCCGAGUGAUUUCUGCUAAAGAAAUCUUUUGCCAGUCAUAAAACCACUGGUGAAUAAGGGGUGGGCAAGUUCUGGUGUCAGCCGCCGCGGUAAAACCAGCGCCUCAAGUGGUCAGGAUGAUUAUUGGGCCUAAAGCAUCCGUAGCCGGCUUUGUUAGUUUUCGGUUAAAUCCAUGUGCUCAACGCAUGGGCUGCCGAAAAUACUGCAUGGCUAGGGAGUGGGAGAGGUAGACGGUACUCAGUAGGAAGGGGUAAAAUCCUUUGAUCUAUUGAUGACCACCUGUGGCGAAGGCGGUCUACCAGAACACGUUCGACGGUGAGGGAUGAAAGCUGGGGGAGCAAACCGGAUUAGAUACCCGGGUAGUCCCAGCUGUAAACGAUGCAGACUCGAUGAUGCAUUGGCAUAAUAGCCAGUGCAGUGUCGCAGGGAAGCCGUUAAGUCUGCUGCCUGGGAAGUACGUGCGCAAGUAUGAAACUUAAAGGAAUUGGCGGGGGAGCACCACAAGGGGUGAAGCCUGCGGUUCAAUUGGAGUCAACGCCGGG
rnacentral:rRNA from 1 species